ACCACCACCGGUGGCGGAAGCCCCGUCGAACUCGAGGGCCACUGGGGACGUAAGCUGUACGGGGCGAGCGUAGCUCCGCCACCGCCACCGCCUCAUCACCACCCGCGAGCGCCUCUCGUUUUCGCGCCUCAGGACAUGAGGCAGAUACUCAAGGAAGAGCCUGUACCACGUGCUUGGCCACAGCCUGCGCUCGCCGAUAACGGGACGGUUGGCGUGGGCAGAGCGCAUUUCGAGAAACAACCACCAAGCAAUUUAAGGAAAAGUAAUUUCUUCCAUUUUGUGAUCGCACUUUAUGAUCGGCAUGGCCAACCUAUCGAGAUAGAAAGGACAUCGUUUAUGGGUUUCGUCGAAAAAGAUCAGGAGUCCGAAGGCCAGAAAACGAAUAAUGGAAUCCAAUACAGCUUACAUCUGCUCUAUUCUAAUGGUGUCAGACAGGUGCAAGAUAUUUAUGUUAGGCUUAUUGACUCCGCGACGAAACAAGCUAUCAUGUAUGAGGGACAAGAUAAGAAUCCUGAAAUGUGCAGAGUCCUUCUGACGCACGAGGUGAUGUGCAGUCGGUGUUGCGAUAAAAAAAGUUGCGGGAACAGGAAUGAAACACCGAGCGACCCUGUGAUCAUCGACCGAUUCUUCCUUAAGUUCUUUCUCAAGUGCAACCAGAACUGCCUUAAGAAUGCUGGCAACCCACGCGAUAUGAGGCGCUUCCAGGUGGUCAUUUCCACGCAAGUAGGAGUAGAGGGACCACUACUGGCAGUCUCGGACAACAUGUUCGUUCACAACAACAGUAAACAUGGGCGUAGAGCGAAACGAUUGGAUCCUAGUGAUCCCGGCGAAUACAACAGUCUCUAUACACCUGUACCCCUUCAAACACCAUGCAUAAAGGCAAUAUCACCGAACGAGGGAUGGACAUCUGGAGGGUCUACAGUGAUAAUCAUAGGUGAAAAUUUCUUCGAUGGACUUCAAGUAGUGUUUGGAUCGAUGUUGGUUUGGAGCGAGCUAAUCACACCAAAUGCAAUCAGGGUGCAAACUCCGCCAAGACAGAUACCAGGAGUCGUUGAUGUCACACUAUCGUAUAAGACUAAACAAUUUUGCAAAGGAACGCCUGGGAGAUUUGUUUAUGUCUCAUUAAAUGAACCCACGAUUGACUACGGCUUCCAAAGGUUACAAAAGUUAAUACCGCGGCACCCUGGCGACCCUGAAAAAUUACCGAAAGAAAUUAUACUGAAGAGGGCGGCAGAUCUUGCAGAAGCUUUGUACAGUAUGCCCAGGAGUGGGAACGCGGGAAUUACAGGUGCUCCGAGGAGUCCUGGAUCAGGUCAUCCACCUGCACCGCCUACUUCCAGUUCAGCGACAGCGUUCAACUCGUAUACAGGACAACUGGCAGUGACGGUACAAGAAAACGGUAGUGCGGCGAAAUGGACAGACGACGGUAGUUCCGUGACGACAGGAGCCAAUGCUGGAGGCGGAGGUGGCGGUGGUGGUGGUGGCAGCGUCGGAGGCAGCGUCGGUGGAAACGUGGACGCCUAUAGGCAAAGCAGUAGCGCGAGUCCACGUGGGGUUGUGACUGGUGGUGGUUAUUGCGGAAGUUCGGCCAGCACACCCCACAGUCACAGCACCAAUGGAAGUUACUCGGUCGCCAAUCCGUACGCCGGUAGCCCAACCCUUUACACGUCGCCGCACGAACAGUAUGGCAUUUUCUAUACGUCCGGGGACGGGAGUGCGUUCGCCCCCGUAGUACGACCACCGACUACCUCAGUCCCACCGCACUGGUCCACACAGCACCACCUCGCCACAGCCGCCCAGUAACCGCUAACCGUCCACCAUCACAACCACCAUCAUCACCACCACAACCACUCCAUGCACUGCGAUUAAAGAAUUAUGAGAAACAUUCACAAGAGACGAGAUUCGAGAAUGACUAGGAGAGGUUGUCGGUUCACCAUUCAACAUGAAUCCAUUUAUGUUGCCCACCUGCAGCCAAGGAUAUUCAAACACCGCCAGUCCAUUGCUCUCGUCAAGUAACAAAUAGUGUUACGAGAUGUAAGCUCGAACGAAAAUAUCGAGAGGUUCUGUCUUCGCGGAAGCGAAAUUCACUCGCACCAAGUGCUCCAGUGAAUUUUAACGUUCUCAUAAUCAUCGUAUUUGUAGUUGACAAUCGCUUUCGUGAAUCGAAAUCGAUUCUCUCGAUCCACCUUUUUCCCAAUUAUCGUACGAAUGGGAAAAGAAGUGGUCGCGCAAAAACGUUUGUGCGUCAUUUUCGUCGAAGCCACGAAAUGAAUUGAGUUUGAGAGUAUAUCGAAACCAGUGCAAAAAUUGAUAACGUUUUAUGAUUAACGAUCGAAUAAGUUAAGGAAUGAUACAUAUCGAAAAAGACGUUGUUUUUUCAUCUCUUGACAUAGUCGUUCGGAUGAUACACCCUACACAUUUGUUACAAUUACAAAACAAAUGUAAUUUGUUAUGUUCGUAUGCAAAAAAUAAUCCGUUCAUCGUAAUUAAUUUUUAAAAUACGAAAAGUACAUAAGUGUUAUGAAAUGUUGAAUACAAACACGAGCUUUAUUUUAAUAGCGAUAAUACUCCAUUACAAUUUCUGCUACGAUUGUAGUAACCUUUCGUGGAAGGUAAUUAAAUCGUUAUUACCCUUUGAUCCUUUUAUAAUAGCUCCCCCUGCACUGCCAACUUACUAAACAUUCCUAAAUUUUCCGUUCAUCUUGCAUCUUAAGAAAAAAUGUUUAAUCAUGUGAAACAGCCGACCGACUAUAGUCUUUUCGUGUUACUGAUAUCGCUAUUUUUGACGUAGCUGUCCCAACAGGAAGAAGGCAUUUUUAUGGAUAGAUUUGAAUAUACCCUUUACCAUCUGCGCCUCCUCCCGCGCACAGAAUAGUCACGUGACUGAAACUUGCGACAGAAUAUUUUUGAAGCGUUUUCCAUCGAUUUUGUAGCAAGGUGCUUUAAUAAAUCCGCCUAAAAAAAAUCGAAAGUUCAGAAACGGGAGCAGUAUACGUGAGCAGAGUCGUUCACAGGGUGUCGGGGAAUUUUGUAUGAAACCAAGCGGAGGACUGUCGAGGGUCGAGGGAGACUAGACACCACUAGACGAACAUAUCGCUUAUCAUUGAAUAACAGACAUCAUAGUUUUAGAGAGCAUUUUCGACUUUGAAAUUUUAACUUCCUACCCCUACAUUUUAAGAGACUAACCAAUAUCAGCUAGGUAGCGUAUCGUCUAACGUGUAAUUUGUAAAUUUUCUUGUAAAUAUUGUUGCGAUGUACAAAACGACAGAAUUAUUUCUAGGAAUCCAACGAAAUGAUAUUAACGAGAUUGUAGGACGAAAAGUUAUUAUAUAUAGGUGUACAUAAUCGUAGAGCAUCUGUAGCUUAAUCCGUAUAAUUGUAUGAUUGUAUGACGGCGAUCCAAUCCUUUAACGUGCGGACUAUUACAUAAACGCGUAUGAUCGGUGAAACGGGUAUAGUGCACUUGAAUUCGCAGUCAACCAUAAAAUAUCCGAUCGAGCGUACACGUUUUCUUUAUUUCUACAAAACAAACGUCUCAACUUCGAAAACAGUUUUAUACGUUCCAAAAGGUUAUUAUAACUGCUUUCACCGAUUCUAUAUUUCUCGAUGUUUCUCAGAAUUGAUUUUGUAACGUCUAAUUUCUACUAUCACGUCUAUUAUAUGAUUUGAAUUAUUUUAAACGGAAAACACGUAUAAAUAAGUAAACGGAAAGUCGUGGAUAGUAUUAUAGUUGAUGGCCACGUUAAAAACUGGAUUGUACGUGACAACUGUAUAAAACGUAUAUAGUUAAUUUGAAUCGUUCGAUAAGCCGGCCCAAAACGAAUCUCACACCAAACGAAUCUCACGAAAGUAUACGAAGCAUAUAUCAGAAUUGAAAUCCAUAAUUAGUCCAGAUUUUGCAGUGGAUUACGAGCAUAGAUCGUAUCAUUUAUCAGAACGAGUGUCGUUAAAAUUUAUUAUUGUAAACAGUUCCUUUUUGCAUAUCGACUUGGUGAGCACUCUUUCAAUACGAAAGGUGCACCCUUUGUCCGAGAGCCACACGCUCUGUGAUCUUGUGAUGUUGAUUGUAAUAUUGAUUAUCACUUUCGUUCCAUCAUGUCAUAUUUUACAUGACGCGUCGUUAUUGUACGCAUGCGAGUGCGCGCAAG